rnacentral:rRNA from 1 species
UAGCUAGUUGGUUGGGUAAGGGCCUACCAAGGCGACGAUCGGUAGCUGGUCUGAGAGGAUGACCAGCCACACUGGAAUUGAGACACGGUCCAGACUCCUACGGGAGGCAGCAGUGGGGAAUAUUGGACAAUGGGGGCAACCCUGAUCCAGCAAUGCCGCGUGUGUGAAGAAGGCCUGAGGGUUGUAAAGCACUUUCAGUGGGGAGGAGGGUUGAUAGGUUAAGAGCUAAUUAACUGGACGNUACCCACAGAAGAAGCACCGGCUAACUCCGUGCCAGCAGCCGCGGUAAUACGGAGGGUGCGAGCGUUAAUCGGAAUUACUGGGCGUAAAGGGUGCGUAGGUGGUUGAUUAAGUUAUCUGUGAAAUUCCUGGGCUUAACCUGGGACGGUCAGAUAAUACUGGUUGACUCGAGUAUGGGAGAGGGUGGUGGAAUUUCCGGUGUAGCGGUGAAAUGCGUAGAGAUCGGAAGGAACACCAGUGGCGAAGGCGGCUACCUGGCCUAAUACUGACACUGAGGCACGAAAGCGUGGGGAGCAAACAGGAUUAGAUACCCUGGUAGUCCACGCUGUAAACGAUGUCAACUAGUUGUUGGUUAUAUGAAAAUAAUUAGUGGCGC